AACGAACGCUGGCGGCAUGCCUAACACAUGCAAGUCGAACGAACCCUUCGGGGUUAGUGGCGCACGGGUGCGUAACGCGUGGGAAUCUGCCCUUUGCUUCGGAAUAACAGUUUGAAAUGACUGCUAAUACCGGAUGAUGUCUUCGGACCAAAGAUUUAUCGGCAAAGGAUGAGCCCGCGUAGGAUUAGGUAGUUGGUGGGGUAAAGGCCUACCAAGCCGACGAUCCUUAGCUGGUCUGAGAGGAUGAUCAGCCACACUAGGACUGAGACACGGCCCAGACUCCUACGGGAGGCAGCAGUGGGGAAUAUUGGACAAUGGACGCAAGUCUGAUCCAGCAAUGCCGCGUGAGUGAUGAAGGCCUUAGGGUUGUAAAGCUCUUUUACCAGGGAUGAUAAUGACAGUACCUGGAGAAUAAGCUCCGGCUAACUCCGUGCCAGCCGCCGCCGUAAAAC
rnacentral:rRNA from 1 species